rnacentral:rRNA from 1 species
CCUACGGGAGGCAGCAGUAGGGAAUCUUUCACAAUGGGCGAAAGCCUGAUGGAGCCAAGCCGCGUGCAGGAUGAAGGCCUUCGGGUUGGAAACUGCCUUUAUAAGCGAGAAAUAUGAUGGUAACUUAUGAAUAAGGAUCGUCUAACUACGUGCCAGCAGCCGCGGUCAUACGUAGGAUCCGAGCAUUAUCCGGAGUGACUGGGUGUAAACAGUUGCGUAUGUGGCAUAAUAAGUAGCUAGUGAAAUCUGGUGGCUCAACCAUUCAGACUAUUAGCUAAACUGUUAAGCUCGAGACCGUUAGGGGUAACUGGAAUUUGUGGUGUAGGAGUGAAAUGCGUAGAUAUUAGAAGGAACACCGAUAGCGUAGGCAGGUUACUGGGACGGUUCUGACACUAAGGCACGAAAGCGUAGGGAGCAAACGGGAUUAGAUACCCUUGUAGUC